rnacentral:tRNA from 1 species
GAUUAGGAAGUUUAUUUUAACGUCUACUUUGAAAGUAGAAAAAGAGGAAUCUUUUCUCUCUAAUCU